AUAUUAAUCUAAAAAAAAAAAUCAUACAGUGGUUAGAAUUUAUCCUAAAGUUAUUUGAUAGUGAAUUCACCUAUUUAUGAAUUCAUCUGUUUUGUUUUUUUUUUGGUUGUUUUUUUAUGUUUGAAUCAUGGCUCUUGUUUUAGAUAAACUGAGAUCUUAAGUCAGAAUUUAAUGUUUAGUGAGCUGCCUAAAACAUUAGGCAAUACUCAAUAGCAUUUUCAAAAGCCCACAGCCAUUUAAACCAAUCAGCAUAGAAAAUGAGUUUGGAAGCUAGAUUCAACUCAUGUGCCACGGGAUUAUAGACUGACAUUUAUUCUCUCUCUUGAUCAGACAGUGAAUUUUUAAUUAUUCCACGAAAAGUAGAGCAUGUGCAACUGGAAAUGUUUUUAAUAACUUGUGUCUUAUUUUAAUUGCCUGGUGACUAGUAUGUAAGGUAAGAAUAUCAAAUUUGAAAAAAAAAACCUUUAAAAAAAAAAAAACCAAAAAACAAAAAAACACCACAGGUCAGGGAAAAAAAAUAUAUCAGAAGGGCCCUGACUACCUGACUAGUACAAACUUGAACAUGGAAAGUUCCAUAUGAACUUGUGAAGAAACUUUACUGUGAGGGUGACAGAGCACUGGAACAGGCUGCCCAGAGAGACCAUGGAGUCUCCUCAGGAGAUAUUCAUAACCCAGCUGGACACUUUCCUGUUCAACCUUCUGUAGGGAACCUGCUUUAGCACAGGUGGUAGACUCAAUGAUCCCUACAUGACCCUUCCAACCCUAAUGAUUCUGUGAUUCUGCGACUGUUCAGAGUUGAACCUAGAGCUUUCUGGCAGUGGAAGACACCAGGAAUUCCAUUCAAAAACUCUAUGAAUUUUUCCGGCAAGAGAGAACAAUGGUCAUGCAAGGAAUUCUGGAGAGAGAAUGGUAGAAUGGUUACAACGAGCUCACUGGGAGAUCUGAUCCCAGUCACCAGCUGAGAGGACAGAGGAGAACACAACUUGCGCUCCCGAUCCCUUCAGAAGUCUUCCCAGAGCCCUGACGUCCCUUCUGAUCACCCAAAGGCUUCUUUUGCCUACCUCUUCAUUUCCAAUGUGGAAAACCAGUAACGGAGAAUAAUCGGAGGGCUUAACGAGGUGUCGUUAAUCGGAGGCUUAAUGACAACACACCUCCCUGUGGGAUGGAUCUGAGCAGCAUAUCGGGCCCUCGGUUCCCCUCAGAAGGGAGUUCCCUAUGACGACAAGUUUUUUUGUUUUGUUUUGUUCCCCUCCCCCCCCCCCCCCUCCCCCCCCAAGUGACGUAGCAAAAUGGGGAGCAGACUGACUAGCCUUGGGCAACCUCUCCUGCAUGGAUGGACUUUCACCAACAUCCACAGCUCCUACUCCCUCCAGCUUCAGAGCCUCAUACCUGUUUUGUAAGGGCACCUGGGAAGGUGGGACAGGCUGAGGGGCAGUCUGCUUGCUGCCCUGAACAGGGACUUGUUUCCAUCCCUCGCUGUCUUUGAGGUCACUCCUUCCCACCUGACUGUGAGACAGCAGAUGAUCCCCCACUGCUUGAGGAGCAUCUCCCCUGCACCCUUUCUGUAGGGAUGGCAGAGUGCAACUUUACUAGUCAAUCCCCUUCCCACAAUCCCGGAUGCUCCUCCCUUUCUUCCUCCUUCUGCUCUACCACCAGCCUGAGCAGAUCCUCCACCUGCUCACACUGCACACAGGUAGUAUCCUGGCUGCCCUCCUGUACCAGUAACAUGGCCAGGCAUUCUCCGCAACCUGAGACCCGAACUGUGGCAUGGACAUUCAUGCUUUCUGUCUGAGUCUCCACGUUCCUUUUAGCAGCAGCUCACCUCCGUUUGGUGACCAUGGUUGCACCUCGGUGUGUCCAGAGAGCAACGACCUGUUAAGUGACCUGUUAAGUGCUAAGUGCUAAGCCCCCUCCUAUAUGGCAAGGUGCCCUGCCCUGCCCUGCCUGCCCGCUGAUUUGCUCGGGGUUUGCCCUAGAAAUCACUCUUUUCACAGCAAGACAACAACCUGCCUUCCUGCAUAGUCACGCAAAUAGGUGGCUUACUAUUUCACCUCCUCAGAACAGCCCAAGUGAUUCAAACACCCUGACUCCUCCUCUCCAUCCCCAAGGCUUUUUCUAGGCAGGGGGCGUGGAUGCAGAGCCGUUGCCCUGGCAACGCCCACUUCAUGUCAGCC
ensembl:lncRNA